rnacentral:rRNA from 1 species
UGCAGUCGAACGGAAGGCCUCUUCGGAGGUACUCGAGUGGCGAACGGGUGAGUAACACGUGGGCAAUCUGCCCUGCACUUCGGGAUAAGCCUGGGAAACUGGGUCUAAUACCGGAUAGGACCUCAAGACGCAUGUCUUCUGGUGGAAAGCUUUUGCGGUGUGGGAUGGGCCCGCGGCCUAUCAGCUUGUUGGUGGGGUGACGGCCUACCAAGGCGACGACGGGUAGCCGGCCUGAGAGGGUGUCCGGCCACACUGGGACUGAGAUACGGCCCAGACUCCUACGGGAGGCAGCAGUGGGGAAUAUUGCACAAUGGGCGCAAGCCUGAUGCAGCGACGCCGCGUGGGGGAUGACGGCCUUCGGGUUGUAAACCUCUUUCACCAUCGACGAAGGUCCGGGUUUUCUCGGAUUGACGGUAGGUGGAGAAGAAGCACCGGCCAACUACGUGCCAGCAGCCGCGGUAAUACGUAGGGUGCGAGCGUUGUCCGGAAUUACUGGGCGUAAAGAGCUCGUAGGUGGUUUGUCGCGUUGUUCGUGAAAUCUCACGGCUUAACUGUGAGCGUGCGGGCGAUACGGGCAGACUAGAGUACUGCAGGGGAGACUGGAAUUCCUGGUGUAGCGGUGGAAUGCGCAGAUAUCAGGAGGAACACCGGUGGCGAAGGCGGGUCUCUGGGCAGUAACUGACGCUGAGGAGCGAAAGCGUGGGGAGCGAACAGGAUUAGAUACCCUGGUAGUCCACGCCGUAAACGGUGGGUACUAGGUGUGGGUUUCCUUCCUUGGGAUCCGUGCCGUAGCUAACGCAUUAAGUACCCCGCCUGGGGAGUACGGCCGCAAGGCUAAAACUCAAAGGAAUUGACGGGGGCCCGCACAAGCGGCGGAGCAUGUGGAUUAAUUCGAUGCAACGCGAAGAACCUUACCUGGGUUUGACAUGCACAGGACGCGUCUAGAGAUAGGCGUUCCCUUGUGGCCUGUGUGCAGGUGGUGCAUGGCUGUCGUCAGCUCGUGUCGUGAGAUGUUGGGUUAAGUCCCGCAACGAGCGCAACCCUUGUCUCAUGUUGCCAGCGGGUAAUGCCGGGGACUCGUGAGAGACUGCCGGGGUCAACUCGGAGGAAGGUGGGGAUGACGUCAAGUCAUCAUGCCCCUUAUGUCCAGGGCUUCACACAUGCUACAAUGGCCGGUACAAAGGGCUGCGAUGCCGUAAGGUUAAGCGAAUCCUUUUAAAGCCGGUCUCAGUUCGGAUUGGGGUCUGCAACUCGACCCCAUGAAGUCGGAGUCGCUAGUAAUCGCAGAUCAGCAACGCUGCGGUGAAUACGUUCCCGGGCCUUGUACACACCGCCCGUCACGUCAUGAAAGUCGGUAACACCCGAAGCCAG